rnacentral:rRNA from 1 species
AAGUAUAUGCAUAUUUUAUAUGUAGAAACUGCGAACGGCUCAUUAAAACAGUUAUAAUCUACUUGACAUUUUCUAUAUAAGGAUAACUACGGAAAAGCUGUAGCUAAUACUUGCUUUAGCGCUCUUGACUUCGCGUCUUGAGUGUGUACUUGUUAAGCCUUAUAAGAAAAAAGUUAUUAACUUAAGGAAUUAUAACAAAGAAGUAACACGUAAUGGAUUCAUCCAUUUUUAGUGUGUAUCAAUCGAGUUUCUGACCUAUCAGCUUUUGAUGUUAGGGUAUUGGCCUAACAUGGCUAUGACGGGUAACGGGGAAUUAGAGUUCGAUUCCGGAGAGGGAGCCUGAGAAAUAGCUACCACAUCUAAGGAAGGCAGCAGGCGCGUAAAUUACCCAAUUCUAAAGAAGAGAGGUAGUGACAAGAAAUAACAAUACAAGGCCAAUCUGGCUUUGUAAUUGGAAUGAUGGGAAUUUAAAACCUUCCCAAAAUACAAUUGGAGGGCAAGUCUGGUGCCAGCAGCCGCGGUAAUUCCAGCUCCAAUAGCGUAUAUUAAAAUUGUUGCAGUUAAAACGCUCGUAGUUGAAUUUCAAAGAAUCGAUAUUUUAAGUAACGCUUUUAGCUUAAAUCCACAUGACAGACACUUCGUGUCGACUUUGUGCGCAUUUUCGCUAUUAUGUGUUCUUUUAAUUAAAAUGAUUCUUUUUAAAUCUCCAACAUUGCUUCGGCAUUUUUGGAGAUUUGUUACUUUGAGUAAAUUAGAGUGUUCAAAGCAAACAGAUAUAGCAUUUGUGCGUUUGAAUACUACAGCAUGGAAUAACAAAAUUGAACAAGUCAAAAUUUUUGUUCUUUUUUCUUAUUUUGGCUUAGUUACGAUUAAUAGGAGUAGCUUGGGGGCAUUUGUAUUCAGAUGUCAGAGGUGAAAUUCUUAGAUUUUCUGGAGACAAACAACUGCGAAAGCAUUUGCCUAAAAUACUUCCAUUAAUCAAGAACGAAAGUUAAGGGAGUGAAGACGAUCAGAUACCGUCGUAAUCUUAACCAUAAACUAUGCCGACUAGGCUUUGGAUGAAAGAUUUUAAAAUAAGAGUUUUCCAUUCUCUUCGGAGUUUGGACUCUUAGAUUGCUUCCUUCAGUGCCUUAUGAGAAAUCAAAGUCUUUGGGUUCUGGGGCGAGUAUUCGCGCAAGCGAGAAAGUUAAAAGAAUUGACGGAAGGGCACCACCAGGCGUGGAGCUUGCGGCUUAAUUUGACUCAACACGGGAAAACUCACUAGUUUAAGACAAGAGUAGGAUUGACAGAUUAAUAGCUCUUUCUUGAUUUCUUGGAUGGUGAUGCAUGGCCGUUUUUAGUUCGUGAAUAUGAUUUGUCUGGUUAAUUCCGAUAACGAACGAGAUCUUAACCUGCUAAUUAGCGGCAAAUACGAUAUAUUCUUUUGCGGAAUUGAAUAUAGUGGAUUUGUUAAAUUUUGAAGAAAAUAUUGGAAUUACUAAUCGUUUUUCCUUUCCCUUUUCUACUUAAUUUACUUAUCCUACUAUUUCUUUUUUGCAUUUGAAUGUAUUUGCUUGAUUGUAAAGCUUCUUAGAGGAACGAUGUGUGUCUAACACAAG